UCUUCCUCCUAGUCUUCUGUCAGUCACUCGCUCAUCUCUCUGUUUCAGUCAAUGUCCUCUGCUCUUCCUCUUCCUGGCGCGAGCUAGGGUUCGUGGGGUUAGUUGCUAGAUAUUCUCCCACUGCCUCAACUGCUCCUACUGCUUCAGUCCAUGGCUUCUGUUCUUCGUCUUCCUGUCGCGAGCUAGGGUUCUUGGGGUUUGUUGCUAGGUGUUUCCAAUCGGGCUAUUUGGUUGCUGUUGGAUUGGAUUUGCUGGCAUCUCAUUUUUUUUCAGGUCUUCACAGUCGGCUGUUUUGGUUGCUGUAGGAUCUGCCGUUGCUGCAUCUCAUCUUUUUCUAGUCCUUUUAUUGUCUAUUUUUUAGUAAUAGGAUGUUGUCCUGAACCCAUGAAGUAGCAGGAUGGUGGUCUGAUAAUGUUAUUUCUUCAUUUUUGUAGUGUCCAUUCGUUUUGUGUCAAUGAUUUUUUCUUACACUUUUGCUUGAUGAUGAAUUUCUGGAAGUUUAGGUUUUUGGGAGAUGUAAUAUGUUAACAUUUAGUAAAGAUUAGGCAGGUUUUUUUGGGCCAUGUCUAUCCUAAUUGUGUGAAUGUAUAUAUAUUUAUCAUCAAGGCUAAUUUAAAUUCAAUGAGUUUACUACUGUAUCUGUAGCUUUUUUUGAUAUAUUACACUGUAUAUUGUAGGCUAGUUUUAGUGUUCUUGCUUUUGUUUAAUGUGUGCAUUUUUUGUACAAUGAGUAUGCAAGUUUGUAAUUGUAGCUUUUUUGAUUUUUAGGAAUUAGGCUGUUUGUACUCAUACUCAGUUGUGUGCAUUUUUUUAGGCAUUUAGUAUAUCCUAGAUAGUUACUAAUGUAGUCUAUCAUGAAUCUUCUUUUUGCUGUUCUAAAUUCUGUGUAAUUUCAGUACGAUGAACAUGCAAGUAUCUUAUAUAGGUUUAUUUAAAUUUUUUUAAGAUGUGAAUGUAUAUAUUUUGUUUUCAAUGCCAAUAUCCCAGUUGAUAUUUGAUGAAUCCACACUAGUAUAAGUAAAAUUACGAACUGAGUUAUAUAUUACGUUAUUUUUUCAUGUAGAUUGAAUUCCUUUUUGUUUAUAUCAAUAUACCUGCUCGCAAUCACUAGUGUGUAGUUAUACAUUCUUUAUUUUUUGUAAGUUUCCAAAUUAGAUUUAGUGAAUUCUUUUUCUGUGAGUUAUAAUCAGAUUUGAGAGUGUUUAUUUCCUAUAGUCAAUUUAGGUUGUCCUUCCUGUUUAUUCUCUUUUGUUUAAUUAUGUAAUUUUGUCUUUUUUAUUUAAUAUUUUUGUUGUUUUCUUUCCCCUGUAGAUAUGGUUUGCCCCGUUUAUCGUUACCCGGGUGCCCCUUGUGUACCAUUUGCGGCAAAUCAAUAAGUUCCUGAAGUUUUUGAUGUUGUGCUUGAUGAGGACUGCUUCAGGAGGAUGUACAUCCCCUGCAAUGUGAGGGCUUUCGAAGCUGCUUACAUCCAGGAGCACAGGACUGUUGCCCAGAUGUAAUCUUCCUCUACUCCACUUUCAUCGUGAUCACUGCUGCAAUCCAGGUAAUUUUCACUAUUGCAGUCAGAACUAUACUCAUCAGCUUCAUCUUCAUUACUUCUUCACUUUGAUGAUUGCUUGAUAUUGGUUCUUCUAUUUUGUGGUGAUCCUGCAAGAUAAGUUAUGCGAUGUACUGCUUAUGUACUAUUUAACUUCAUGAAAAAUAUUUAAGUUAGGUUCUAUUAUAAUAAGACAUACCUGAGCAUCCAUGCUAUUGUCAAGAGCGAAGUGAAACUUGUUAUAGGGAUUGACAUGUCGUCGCUUUGAAGGUGACUCAUGAGAGUCAUCUACUGCAGUAGUUGUGUGUACGACUGUGCUACUCCUUCUGGUUCCAGAACCUCAUUCAUCAGUUGGCAACUUUGCUUUCCAAAGCGAACUUCAAUUAAUUCCUGUAAAUUAUUCUUCAGAGACCUUGCAAAAGUGUGUAUUCAUAAUUAUUGUGCUCUAUGCUUGUA